rnacentral:tRNA from 1 species
UGGGAUAGCUCAGUCAGUAGAGAAUGAGAUUCUCAACCUCAGGGCCAUGGGUUUGAGCCCCACACUGGGCAAAG